GGUCUUCGGACCAGCGGCGAACGGGUGAGUAACACGUAAGCAAUCUUCCCUUCAGUUGGGGACAACCAUCCUAACGGGUGGCUAAUACCGAAUAUUGUAAACUCUCGCAUGUUUGUUUACGAAAGAUUUAUCGCUGAAGGAUGAGCUUGCGGUGCAUUAGCUUGUUGGUAGGGUAACGGCCUACCAAGGCUACGAUGCAUAUCCGGCCUGAGAGGGUGAACGGACACAUUGGGACUGAGAUACGGCCCAGACUCCUACGGGAGGCAGCAGUAGGGAAUUUUGCGCAAUGGGGGAAACCCUGACGCAGCAACGCCAUGUGAGGGAUGAAGCAUCUCGGUGUGUAAACCUCUGUCAGCAGGGAAUAAAUGGCCAUUAGGCAGCUGAAUGUACCUGCAAAGGAAGCCCCGGCUAACUUCGUGCCAGCAGCCGCGGUAAUACGAGGGGGGCAAGUGUUGUUCGGAAUCACUGGGCGUAAAGGGAGCGUAGGUGGAAGUUUAAGUCAGAUGUUUAAGACCGGAGCCCAACUCCGGACCUGCGUCUGAAACUGGACUUCUUGAAUACUGUAGAGGUAGAUGGAAUUCCGGGUGUAGCGGUGGAAUGCGUAGAUAUCCGGAGGAACACCAGUUGCGAAGGCGAUC
rnacentral:rRNA from 1 species